UUAGUUAAGUUAGAAAGGGCGCACGGUGGAUGCCUUGGCACUAGGAGCCGAUGAAGGACGGGACUAACACCGAUAUGCUUCGGGGAGCUGUAAGUAAGCUUUGAUCCGGAGAUUUCCGAAUGGGGGAACCCACUACGUUUAAUCGCGUAGUAUCUUGACGUGAAUACAUAGCGUCUUGAAGGCAGACCCAGGGAACUGAAACAUCUAAGUACCUGGAGGAAGAGAAAGAAAAAUCGAUUCCCUGAGUAGCGGCGAGCGAAACGGGAAGAGCCCAAACCAAGAGGCUUGCCUCUUGGGGUUGUAGGACACUCAAUACGGAGUUACAAAAGAGCGAGUUAGAUGAAGCGACUUGGAAAGGUCCGCCAGAGCAGGUAAAAGCCCUGUAGUCGAAAGUUUAUUCCCUCCAGAGUGGAUCCUGAGUACGGCGGAACACGUGAAAUUCCGUCGGAAUCCGGGAGGACCAUCUCCCAAGGCUAAAUACUACCUAGUGACCGAUAGUGAACCAGUACCGUGAGGGAAAGGUGAAAAGCACCCCGGAAGGGGAGUGAAAGAGA
rnacentral:rRNA from 2 species